AUUGAACGCUGGCGGCAGGCCUAACACAUGCAAGUCGAGCGGAUGAGGAGAGCUUGCUCUCUGAUUUAGCGGCGGACGGGUGAGUAAUGCCUAGGAAUCUGCCUGGUAGUGGGGGAUAACGUCCGGAAACGGGCGCUAAUACCGCAUACGUCCUACGGGAGAAAGCAGGGGACCUUCGGGCCUUGCGCUAUCAGAUGAGCCUAGGUCGGAUUAGCUAGUUGGUGAGGUAAUGGCUCACCAAGGCUACGAUCCGUAACUGGUCUGAGAGGAUGAUCAGUCACACUGGAACUGAGACACGGUCCAGCCUCCUACGGGAGGCAGCAGUGGGGAAUAUUGGACAAUGGGCGAAAGCCUGAUCCAGCCAUGCCGCGUGUGUGAAGAAGGUCUUCGGAUUGUAAAGCACUUUAAGUUGGGAGGAAGGGCAGUAAGUUAAUACCUUGCUGUUUUGACGUUACCGACAGAAUAAGCACCGGCUAACUUCGUGCCAGCCGCCGCCGUAAUAC
rnacentral:rRNA from 1 species